AGUGAACGCUGGCGGUAGGCCUAACACAUGCAAGUCGAACGGCAGCACAGUAAGAGCUUGCUCUUACGGGUGGCGAGUGGCGGACGGGUGAGGAAUACAUCGGAAUCUACUUUUUCGUGGGGGAUAACGUAGGGAAACUUACGCUAAUACCGCAUACGACCUACGGGUGAAAGCAGGGGAUCUUCGGACCUUGCGCGAUUGAAUGAGCCGAUGUCGGAUUAGCUAGUUGGCGGGGUAAAGGCCCACCAAGGCGACGAUCCGUAGCUGGUCUGAGAGGAUGGUCAGCCACACUGGAACUGGGACACGGUCCCGACUCCUACGGGAGGCAGCCGUGGGGAAUAUUGGACCAUGGGGGCAAACCUGAUCCAGCCAUCCCGCGUGGGUGAAGAAGGCCUUCCGGUUGUAAAACCCUUUUGUUGGGAAAGAAAAGCAGCAGGUUAAUACCCCGCUGUUCUGACGGUACCCAAAGCAUAAGCACCGGCUAACUUCGUG
rnacentral:rRNA from 1 species